rnacentral:rRNA from 1 species
AUGAACCUAUCAAUCUUUCUUCUGUAUGCAGGUUACACACCUGAUGAUGUUUACGGCGAGGCGCAGGAACAAGCAGAGGCCGAGGAAGUGCGGGCAUGCACGAGGAAGGUUCAGCGGGCUGCAGAAGUCGGGCCACGCCCGGAGAGCCGCGCCAACGCAUGUGUGCGUGGUCGGUGGGUUGGCCAAGAUCUGCAUUCUGCGACUUCUUCUUCACCAUGGACACAAGCAAGGACUGACUCGUGGGUCUUGGUAGCGGUGCCGAGCAUCAGUGAAUCGAAGUGGUCGAGGUCGCGGUUAAUCGACCAGGACGAGACAUGCAUCUUGGAGCUGGUGCAGAGGGGGAAAGAGGCUACUGGUGAAGUCAUGGCUGAAAAGGUUCUUGUGACGCCGCUGCUACUUGGUGCCCGACGCACCCAAGGCAUCAGUUGCCAUCCCUGUUCUCCCGGUGGCCCUCUCGUCAUGUGUUCAAUUGGUCGAGUAGUUCGUCACAGCCGCUGA